AUUGAACGCUGGCGGCAGGCCUAACACAUGCAAGUCGAGCGGAUGAAGGGAGCUUGCUCCUGGAUUCAGCGGCGGACGGGUGAGUAAUGCCUAGGAAUCUGCCUGGUAGUGGGGGAUAACGUCCGGAAACGGGCGCUAAUACCGCCUACGUCCUGAGGGAGAAAGUGGGGGAUCUUCGGACCUCACGCUAUCAGAUGAGCCUAGGUCGGAUUAGCUAGUUGGUGGGGUAAAGGCCUACCAAGGCGACGAUCCGUAACUGGUCUGAGAGGAUGAUCAGUCACACUGGAACUGGGACACGGUCCAGACUCCUACGGGAGGCAGCAGUGGGGAAUAUUGGACAAUGGGCGAAAGCCUGAUCCAGCCAUGCCGCGUGUGUGAAGAAGGUCUUCGGAUUGUAAAGCACUUUAAGUUGGGAGGAAGGGCAGUAAGUUAAUACCUUGCUGUUUUGACGUUACCAACAGAAUAAGCACCGGCUAACUUCGUG
rnacentral:rRNA from 1 species